AAAACCCCAAUUCCCCACAAUACUGACCCUAUCCACCCCACUAAUGCCCCUAUUCCACACAAUACUGCUCCUAUCCCCCCCACUAAAGCACUUUAUAAUGUGCCCUACAUUAUACAGCCCUUAUCUCCCCACAAUACAGCCACUGUACCACUACACUAAAGCCCAAAUACCAUCUGUGUUCCUAUCCCCCCACUAAAGCCACAAUCCCCCCACACUAAAGAAUCAAUCCCCCACAAUAUGGCCCCUGAUCCCAUCACAAUAAAACCCCAAUCGCCCACAAUACUGCCCUUAU